UACGGAGGGUGCGAGCGUUGUCCGGAAUUAUUGGGCGUAAAGGGCUCGUAGGCGGUCUGUUGCGUCGGGAGUGAAAACUCGAGGGCUUAACCCUGAGCCUGCUUCCGAUACGGGCAGACUAGAGGUAUGCAGGGGAGAACGGAAUUCCUGGUGUAGCGGUGAAAUGCGCAGAUAUCAGGAGGAACACCGGUGGCGAAGGCGGUUCUCUGGGCAUGUCCUGACGCUGAGACGCGAAAGCGUGGGGAGCGAACAGG
rnacentral:rRNA from 1 species